GGCAGUUUCACACCUGUUUGUUUUUUCCUCUCCAUGCAUCUUUAAAGGAGAUGAAGUUUCACCAGAAUCUCUACUGUCAUCCUCUCAAGGACUCCAGUACCUGAGCGUAGCCCUGACCCUAAGACCUCUGACCCCACCUGCCAGGUCAUUCUCAUGCCACCUUAACCUGCACUGAAACCAGAGAGCGCUG